rnacentral:rRNA from 1 species
UACGAAGGGGGCUAGCGUUGUUCGGAAUUACUGGGCGUAAAGCGCGUGUAGGCGGGCUGAUAAGUCGGACGUGAAAUCCCUGGGCUCAACCCAGGAACUGCAUCCGAAACUGUCAGUCUGGAGUGGUGGAGAGGGAAGCAGAAUUCCUGGUGUAGAGGUGAAAUUCGUAGAUAUCAGGAGGAACACCGGUGGCGAAGGCGGCUUCCUGGACACUAACUGACGCUGAGACGCGAAAGCGUGGGGAGCAAACAGG